GUGCUUGCUUAGCAGUACAUAUUCUAAAAUUGGAAUGACACAGAGAGGAUUAGCAUGGCCCCUGCGCAAUGAUGACAAGCAAAAUCGUGAAGCGUACCACAUUUUC